UACGUAGGUGGCGAGCGUUGUCCGGAUUUACUGGGCGUAAAGGGCGCGUAGGCGGCCACUGCAAGUCGGUUGUGAAAUCUCCGGGCUUAACCCGGAAAGGUCAACCGAUACUGCAGGGCUAGAGUGCGGAAGGGGCAACUGGAAUUCUCGGUGUAGCGGUGAAAUGCGUAGAUAUCGAGAGGAACACCUGCGGCGAAGGCGGGUUGCUGGGCCGACACUGACGCUGAUGCGCGAAAGCUAGGGGAGCGAACGGG
rnacentral:rRNA from 1 species